rnacentral:rRNA from 1 species
UACGGAGGGUGCGAGCGUUGUCCGGAAUCACUGGGCGUAAAGGGCGCGUAGGCGGCAGUCCAAGCGUGCGGUGAAAGUCCGGGGCUCAACCCCGGAUCUGCCGUGCGGACUGGUUUGCUAGAGCACUGUAGAGGCGAGUGGAAUUCCGGGUGUAGCGGUGGAAUGCGUAGAGAUCCGGAAGAACACCGGUGGCGAAGGCGGCUCGCUGGGCAGUGGCUGACGCUGAGGCGCGACAGCGUGGGGAGCAAACAGG